ACAAACACAGCGAUUGCACACAUGAAACAACAGCAUUUAUUUAAAUGACAUAAAACAUGUAAAUACUCUAUUAAUUAGUCAAAUGGAUCUCACACUUCCUCUGUGAAAGUGGGAAUAAUCUGGAUUAGGAUAUUCAUGAAGAUGUGUUCUGUUCCUUGUAUCAAGUAUCCCUUACUAAUUUGGUGAAAUUGAUCAGUUGUGAUGGCAGCAUUAAUUCAUUUGCUAACUCUUCCCAAAUAUUGAAAUAGCCGAAGAAACCUAAG